rnacentral:rRNA from 1 species
GAUGAACGCUGGCGGCGUGCCUAAUACAUGCAAGUCGAGCGAACAGACGAGGAGCUUGCUCCUCUGACGUUAGCGGCGGACGGGUGAGUAACACGUGGAUAACCUACCUAUAAGACUGGGAUAACUUCGGGAAACCGGAGCUAAUACCGGAUAAUAUAUUGAACCGCAUGGUUCAAUAGUGAAAGACGGUUUUGCUGUCACUUAUAGAUGGAUCCGCGCCGCAUUAGCUAGUUGGUAAGGUAACGGCUUACCAAGGCGACGAUGCGUAGCCGACCUGAGAGGUUGUUCGCCCACACUGGAACUAGGCACCGGCCCAGCCUCCAACGGGAGGCAGCAGUAGGGAAUCUUCCGCAAAGGGCGAAAGCCUGACGGAGCAACGCCGCGGGGGUGAUGAAGGUCUUCGGUUCGUAAAACUCUGUAUUAGGGAAGAACAAAUGUGUAAGUAACUAUGCACGUCUUGACGGUACCUAAUCAGAAAGCCACGGCUAACUACGUG